rnacentral:rRNA from 1 species
UACGGGGGGGGGCAAGCGUUGUUCGGAAUUACUGGGCGUAAAGGGCUCGUAGGUGGCCAACUAAGUCAGACGUGAAAUCCCUCGGCUUAACCGAGGAACUGCGUCCGAUACUGAAAGGCUUGAAUCCGGGAGAGGGAUGUGGAAUUCCAGGUGUAGCGGUGAAAUGCGUAGAUAUCGGGAAGAACACCAAAGGCGAAAGCACUUUGCUGGGCCGAAACUGACACUGAUAGACGAAAGCUAGGGGAGCAAAUGGG